GUUAUGAGUUCUUUUCCUGUUUUUAUUGACUUAAAGCAGAGUUGGGUCAAAGAAACUGUCUCCUUGGAAUGUUCCAGAAUGUAUUUAUUUAGGAAGUGUUGAUUUUUUUAAAUGCUUUUAAGUUCUCUAAAUAAAGAAAUAAGAUUCUAGGGGCUGGUGAGAUGGCUCAACAGAUAAGAGCACCCGACUGUUCUUCUGAAGGUCCUGAGUUCAAUUCCCAGCAACCACAUGGUGGCUCACAACCAUCCCUAACAAGAUCUGGCGCCCUCUUCUGGAGUGUCUGAAGACAGCUACAGUGUACUUACAUAUAAUAAAUAAAUAAAUCUUUAAAAAAAAAAAAAAAAAAAAAAAAAAGAAAUAAGAUUCUAGUUGCUUUCAGUAGUGUGUGUUGUGUAUGUUGUAUGUGUGUAUGUGUGCAGAGGGCAUCAAUUUUAACUUUUAUCCAUUCCUUCCCAUUUUUAGUUCACUUUGUUGCUUUCUUGUCAUUGAAAAACCCUACCGCCAUCAGUUCUGUCCUUUGGAUAUAAUGCUAGCGGGUGGCUUUCCACAGUCUUAGUUACUGUUUAUUGCUGUGAAGAGACACAAUGACCACGGCAACUCUUAUAAAGGAAAUGAUUUAAUUGGGGCUGCCUUACAGAACAGAGGUUUAGUCCAUUAUCAUCUUGGUGGGAAGCACGGUGGCAGGCAGGCAGACAUGGUGCUGGAGAAGGAACCCUGAGUUCUACAACUGGAUCCACAGGCAUCAGAAAGAGAAGGACAUACUGGGCCUUGGCUUGAGUUUAUGAAACUUCAAAGUCCACCCCCAGUGACACACUUCUUCCAACAUGGCCACACCUCCUAAUAGUGCCACUCCCUGUGAGUGUGUCUACGGGGACCAUUUUCUUCGUUUUGUUUUGUUUUGUUUCGAGACAGGGUUUCUCUGUAUAGCCCUGGCUGCCCUGGAGCUCACUUUGUAGCCCAGGCUGGCCUCGAACUCAGAAAUCCUCCUGCCUCUGCCUCCUGAGUGCUGGGAUUAAAGGCGUGCGCCACCACCGCCCAGCUGAUCAUUUUCAUUUAAAUGGCUGCACAUGCAAAGCACCCGGUUCUACCUUACAGUCCUGGUUACUGUAAACCAGCUCUGAUAUAGGGACUAUUCAGGAAAACUGUCCUGAAUUCCCAGUUGGUAGUGUCGUGGACAGGCUGACUGCUUCAGGUUGAGUCCUGGUUUUAGGGGACUGUGACUAGCAGAGGACAGCAAAUGUCUCUUUUCGACUGCAUGAAGUCCUCCUUGUAGCUGAUAGUGUUAAAGUGUACCUUCAAAUUCAACGUGAUCUUUUCUUAUCACUGAGAGAUGUAUCAGAAAUUCCCACUAUAAAACCAAUUCUGGUGGCAUGGACCAGUAGUCAUAGUGUGCUGGAGGCUGAGGCAGGAGGCUCAUGAGUUCAGGACCAACAUGGACUGUAUAUAAAGUUUAAGGCCGGCCUAGGUUGUAUAUAAUCAGUCCUU
rnacentral:lncRNA from 1 species